CUUUUAAAACAUGUUUUAAUUUAACUUUUUAAUACUAUAACAAAAUCGUUUUGAAUUGCUACUCUCAACUCGAUAAAAUGCGUUGUGUUAUAAAUUUCUUUUAAUUUGAUAUUGUCGAGCCAGAGAAAAAGUCAAUUUUCCUUUUGGAGCAGGAGUCAAAGUUCCGAAAUAGGAAAAGUCAACAACCGUAUCGAAUAGCGAUUAAAAAGCGAUGAAUAAUUUCUUG